rfam:Nocardia terpenica strain IFM 0406 genomic scaffold scaffold2, whole genome shotgun sequence.
GUCGGUCUUCGGUAGUGGUCUUUCGGCAGGAAAGGAUUGCCGGAGGGCUUCGAUCGAUGACCGCC